GAAAAGCUCAAAUUUAAAAUCUGGUAGCCUUUGGUUACCCGAGUUGUAAUCUAGAGAAGCGUUAUCCGCGCUGGACCGUGUACAAGUCUCCUGGAACGGAGCGUCAUAGAGGGUGAGAAUCCCGUCUUUGACACGGAUUUACCAGGGCUUUUGUGAUGCGCUCUCAAAGAGUCGAGUUGUUUGGGAAUGCAGCUCUAAAUGGGUGGUAAAUUCCAUCUAAAGCUAAAUAUUGGCGAGAGACCGAUCGCGAACAAGUACCGUGAGGGAAAGAUGAAAAGAACUUUGGAAAGAGAGUUAAACAGUACGUGAAAUU
rnacentral:rRNA from 1 species